GGGGAUUUGGCUCAGUGGUAGAGCGCUUGCCUAGAAGCAAAAGGCCCUGGGUUCGGUCCCCAGCUCCG
rnacentral:tRNA from 1 species